GAAUGCCACGGUGAAUACGUUCCCGGGCCUUGUACACACCGCCCGUCACACCAUGGGAGUGGGUUGCAAAAGAAGUAGGUAGCUUAACCUUCGGGAGGGCGCUUACCACUUUGUGAUUCAUGACUGGGGUGAAGUCGUAACAAGGUAACCGUAGGGGAACCUGCGGUUGGAUCACCUCCUUACCUUAAAGAA
rnacentral:rRNA from 2 species